GAUGAACGCUAGCUACAGGCUUAACACGUGCAAGUCGAGGGGCAGCAUUUUAGUUUGCUUGCAAACUGAAGAUGGCGACCGGCGCACGGGUGAGUAACACGUAUCCAACCUGCCGAUAACUCCGGGAUAGCCUUUCGAAGGAAAGAUUAAUACCGGAUGGCAUACGAAUAUCGCAUGAUAUUUUUAUUAAAGAAUUUCGGUUAUCGAUGGGGAUGCGUUCCAUUAGUUUGUUGGCGGGGUAACGGCCCACCAAGACUACGAUGGAUAGGGGUUCUGAGAGGAAGGUCCCCCACAUUGGAACUGAGACACGGUCCAAACUCCUACGGGAGGCAGCAGUGAGGAAUAUUGGUCAAUGGGCGAGAGCCUGAACCAGCCAAGUAGCGUGAAGGAUGAAGGCUCUAUGGGUCGUAAACUUCUUUUAUAUGGGAAUAAAGUUUUCCACGUGUGGAAUUUUGUAUGUACCAUAUGAAUAAGGAUCGGCUAACUCCGUGCCAGCAGCCGCGGUAAUACGGAGGAUCCGAGCGUUAUCCGGAUUUAUUGGGUUUAAAGGGAGCGUAGGUGGAUUGUUAAGUCAGUUGUGAAAGUUUGCGGCUCAACCGUAAAAUUGCAGUUGAAACUGGGAGUCUUGAGUACAGUAGAGGUGGGCGGAAUUCGUGGUGUAGCGGUGAAAUGCUUAGAUAUCACGAAGAACUCCGAUUGCGAA
rnacentral:rRNA from 1 species